UAGGAUAGCUCAGCUGGUAAAGCAUUAGACUCUUGAGCUCAAUGUUGUGGGUUCGAGCCCCACAUCGGGCAAAA